rnacentral:rRNA from 1 species
CCUACGGGAGGCAGCAGUGGGGAAUAUUGGACAAUGGGGGGAACCCUGAUCCAGCCAUGCCGCGUGUGUGAAGAAGGCCCUCGGGUUGUAAAGCACUUUCAGUGAGGAAGAACGCCUGGUGGUUAAUACCCAUCAGGAAAGACAUCACUCACAGAAGAAGCACCGGCUAACUCCGUGCCAGCAGCCGCGGUAAUACGGAGGGUGCGAGCGUUAAUCGGAAUUACUGGGCGUAAAGCGCGCGUAGGUGGCUUGAUACGCCGGUUGUGAAAGCCCCGGGCUCAACCUGGGAACGGCAUCCGGAACUGUCAAGCUAGAGUGCAGGAGAGGAAGGUAGAAUUCCCGGUGUAGCGGUGAAAUGCGUAGAGAUCGGGAGGAAUACCAGUGGCGAAGGCGGCCUUCUGGACUGACACUGACACUGAGGUGCGAAAGCGUGGGUAGCAAACAGGACUAGAUACCCUGGUAGUC